GACUCCUACGGGAGGCAGCAGUGGGGAAUAUUGCACAAUGGGGGAAACCCUGAUGCAGCGACGCCGCGUGAGCGAAGAAGUAUUUCGGUAUGUAAAGCUCUAUCAGCAGGGAAGAAAAAUGACGGUACCUGAGUAAGAAGCACCGGCUAAACACGUGCCAGCAGCCGCGGUAAUACGUAUGGUGCAAGCGUUAUCCGGAUUUACUGGGAGUAAAGGGAGCGCAGGCGGUGAGGCAAGUCUGAUGUGCAAGCCCCGGGCUCAAC
rnacentral:rRNA from 1 species